rnacentral:sRNA from 1 species
CCCAGCCUUGAAAGGCUGGGCUAGUGUCUGCCGUCCCUACCGGGACU